AAACCGGCGGACGGCUCAGUAACACGUGGACAACNUACCCUUGGGUCCGGGAUAACCCCGGGAAACUGGGGCUAAUACCGGAUGGGACAUCGCUUGCUGGAAUGCAGGAUGUCCGAAAGCUGAGGCGCCCAAGGAUGGGUCUGCGGCCGAUUAGGUAGUUGUUGAUGUAACGGAUCAACAAGCCUACGAUCGGUACGGGUUGUGAGAGCAAUAGCCCGGAGAUGGGUUCUGAGAAAAGAACCCAGGUCCUACGGGACGCAUCAGGCGCGAAAACUUUACAAUGUGCGAAAGCACGAUAAGGGAACUCUGAGUGCCUCCUAAGGAGGCUGUUCAGGUGCCUAAAAAGCACCUGGAGUAAGGGCUGGGUAAGACCGGUGCCAGCCGCCGCGGUAACACCGGCAGCCCAAGUGGUAGCCACUUUUAUUGGGUCUAAAGCGUCCGUAGCCGGUUGAGUAAGUUCCUUGGGAAAUUUGGCUGCUUAACAGUCAAGCUUCCAGGGAAUACUGCUCGACUUGGGACUGGGAGAGGUCAGAGGUACUCCAGGGGUAGGGGUGAAAUCCGUUAAUCCCUGGGGGACCACCGGUAGCGAAGGCGUCCGACCAGACCAGGUCCGACGGUGAGGGACGAAGGCUAGGGUCGCGAACCGGAUUAGAUACCCGGGUAGUCCUAGCAGUAAACGAUGCGGGCUAGGUGUUGGCAUCACUGCGAGUGGUGCCAGUGCCGAAGGGAAGCCGUUAAGCCCGCCAUCUGGGGAGUACGGUCGCAAGGCUGAAACUUAA
rnacentral:rRNA from 1 species